rnacentral:rRNA from 1 species
CACGUAGGGCGCAAGCGUUGUCCGGAAUUAUUGGGCGUAAAGAGCUCGUAGGCGGUCUGUUACGUCUGCUGUGAAAACCCAGGGCUUAACCCUGGGCUUGCAGUGGAUACGGGCAGACUAGAGGCAGGUAGGGGAGAAUGGAAUUCCCGGUGUAGCGGUGAAAUGCGCAGAUAUCAGGAGGAACACCGGUGGCGAAGGCGGAUCUCUGGGCCUGUCCUGACGCUGAGGCGCGAAAGCUAGGGGAGCGAACAGG